rnacentral:ncRNA from 1 species
AAAUGGCAAAACAGAGGAAACUCUGCGGCGCAAAGCUAUAGGAUCUAAACGAUUGUCCAGCAAUCGCAUGACAGCCAGUUACCU